AUAUGUCGUGGCAAUCUUUCAAUUUUGUAGUGUUGGCGUUGUCAAUACCAACCGUUAACGAACGUCCAAGCUAACUCAAUUCGCAAUGCUAUUGUGAAUGUUAGCUGUGGAAAUAUCUAAUAUUAGCCAAAGAAAAUAUGAAUACAUUCUUAUUGUUAUAUGAUUGUUUUUACCUCCAGCUUCGAGGUUUUGAAACGAUCGUAUCUGUUCCCGGGGACGCCGUAAUCCUAAACGAAAUCGCCCUUUUUUUAUGAAACAGGAUUUAUUCGCGAUGUCAUGAAGUACUACAUAACCCACAAUGCGCUGGUGUAACAGCGAGUUCUCUGAUUGGUGGAGCUCGCUGUUACCAUGUAAACGUUUACAACCCGCGAACUCAGGAGAACUCACAGCUAUCUUACUCGGCGGAAAUGAUUAAUUCAUCUCAAUUAAUCGGUAAUUAUGUGUUAAUCUUUGCGUUAUCACAGUACUUCCUGUGAGCCAAAUUAAGUGAGUCGUCUGACAAACUACCUGUCACUCCUCAGAUGGUGAGUCAGAGUUCACCUGAGCUACACCUGAGGACAACCUGUCUGCUGUUCAGGCCACUCAUUUCUGUAAUCAUCAACUACAGCCCUUAAACUCAGGUGUACUGGAGUACAAUUCUGAGCAGAUUACCUGAAACAGCUUCCUGUGCUUUAACAGAUGACUGCAUGAGAGGACUCAUCCUUUCUCUUUCCUAAUGGCACUGUGAGUCACCACACAGACACUGAUCUGUUCGGAUGAUUUCAUAUCUGAUGAGUGUGUCUCUGCAUGCACUGUGGAUAUUUUUCUGUUCUGCUCACUGUCUGGUCUUUACCAGGUUUACUGGGUCAUAAAUUAAUGGAGGUAAUAGGUUUGAUUUAUUGUGUGUCAUAAAGUACAUGUGUCAAAUACUGUACUUGAGUCUAAAAUGGAAAUUUUAUGGUACAUUAUUCAAGGCAGAUAUUGUACAUUUUGUUCAAGUAAACUCCACCUUUAACAGCUGCAAAAUUAAAGUGAUGAACACAUAGAUAAUUGUAACCCAGUUAUUUAAUAUAUAUAGGUGCAUCUCAAUAAAUUAGAAUAUCAUAGAAAAUUGUAUUAAUGUCAGUAAUUCAAUUCAAAAAGUGCAUUACACACAGAGUGAAACAUUUCAUGUCUUAAUUUAUUUAAUUUCUUCUAAUUAUAAUGAUUAUGGCUUACAUUUAAUGAAGACCUAAAAGUUUCUUUAAAAAAAAUAGAAUAUUACAAAAGACCAUGUAUGUCCGUCUAUAUGACUCAAUACUUGGUUGGGGCUAUUUGACUUGAACUACUGGAAAUCGACUUUUCCAUCAUAUUCUAAUGUAUUGAGAUGCACCUGUAUUAUUAUGAAAUGAGCCAUUUUGCAUAAUAAGUAAUUUAACUUUUUUGUACAUUCAAGUAUAUUUUGAUGCCUAGACUACCGACUUAAGUGACAUUUUGAAUGCAGGACUUUUACUUGUAGCUUUUGCAAAGGAAAGGGACUGAAAAUAUUCUUAAGAUUGUGUAUAAAUCUGCACCUCGCUAUCUAUCCAAACAUUUUAAUCUUGUCAAAUAUCCAUGACAGAUAUCUACUGUAAUCCAAAUGAUCCCCUCAAGAAAAGCUGGUACCAGGGGAUUGAAUGACGUUUUUUGCUUUAAAAAUGAUUAAUUGAUAAUCAAUAUAAUUGCGAACGGUUUGACGUUGAUGCAUCAGAGCUCUCUAUACUGCACACUCUCUGUUUAAGUGCAGAUGUUUGAAAGAGAAAGAAAGUCCUCACCCUUCAUCCACCCACACCUCAGGGCUAUAUAUACUGCAGGUGAAAAUAAAACUAACUUUCAUCGUUAUCUAGAAUUUCUCAGGAGCUCUGUGUUCAGUUGAAGUGACGCGAGGCCAGCCCCUCUCCACAGCCGCCAUCAUGUGUUUGGGAUUAGACUGACUCACUGUUAACGUGACACUGAUGGAGCUGAAAGUUUUCAGGGCCACCGCAGGGCUGAGGUCUUAAUUAUCCCACAGGGCCUCAAACACAGCAGUAAAACAGAGAAUAGAAGAGGAAUUUGGGUAACGCU